rnacentral:rRNA from 1 species
GAUGAACGCUGGCGGCGUGCUUAACACAUGCAAGUCGAACGGUGAAGCAGAGCUUGCUCUGUGGAUCAGUGGCGAACGGGUGAGUAACACGUGAGCAACCUGCCCCUGACUCUGGGAUAAGCGCUGGAAACGGCGUCUAAUACUGGAUAUGAGCUGCGACCGCCUGGUCAGCAGUUGGGAAGAUUUUUCGGUCUGGGAUGGGCUCACGGCCUAUCGGCUUGUUGGUGAGGUAAUGGCUCACCAAGGCGUCGACGGGUAGCCGGCCUGAGAGGGUGACCGGCCACACUGGGACUGAGACACGGCCCAGACUCCUACGGGAGGCAGCAGUGGGGAAUAUGGCACAAUGGGCGAAAGCCUGAUGCAGCAACGCCGCGUGAGGGAUGACGGCCUGCGGGUUGUAAACCGCUGUUGGCAGGGAAGAAGCGAAAGCGACGGUACCUGCAGAAAAAGCGCCGGCUAACUACGUG